GAGGUGUGAGGGAUGGAGCCAUAGGACUUCCCAUCUAAACCGGAACACCCGAGAGUCAAAGAAGGUGACCCAGCAUGAACAGAAGCAUAAUGGGGAAUGAGCAGUCAUCCCAGUUUGAGGACCCAGCAUGAAAGUUAAGGCUCCUGUAGCUCAUCUAGACCACACAAACACUCUGCCCUCUGAUGCCUCCCUUCCUCCCACCCUUGUGGCCUUUGCCCACCUGCCUGGCACAGCACCCUCUUCAAAGCCCGGUCCCUCAGUCACGUUGUGGACGCUUCUCCGCCAGCAUCUCCAGGGUACCCAGCUGCAAAUCAUGCCAGGUGCAAAAUCAAUGGCCCCAUCCGGCUCAACAAGCUCUGAGGAGACACCACGUCUUGCCAUCUCCUCUAGCCCUGUCCAACUGUAAAGGAGGGUCGUGGUUUGAGUACCCUCAAAUCCAAGCCCUGAGAAAGAGCUUGGGACCCGAACUGGUGAAUGAUCUAGAAGGUGGUCCCAGAAGGCAGAAGCGAGGGGAGGUGAGGAAGGAAGGAGAGCCUAAGAGGUGCCAUAUGGCUCUGAGAUCUUGCCCAUUCCUUGUUUAUUCACCUCAUUCAUUCCUGCCGCAUUCUGCGGGACUACGAGUCUGCGUGUCCAAGGCUGUCGAGUCCUAGGGGAAGGGGAGCAGUGCGUUCCUGCAGGUGACAGAGAGACGCCCGUUGUCCUGCUCCCGUGGCCCCUUGGUGUCUGGC